rnacentral:lncRNA from 1 species
CCGGCACCGCCCCUUUAAGAGAUUUCUACUGCAGACAUUUUUUAACUUUUUAAAGCGUCAGGCACUUCGUCCGCUCAGGGCCCUUUUCUGGUUGAAGCAGCAAUACCAAGGGCGGUUAAGUUGCAGAGGGGUCUUGAGGCGGUGAUUCCUGUCAAAGCAUAGAGCCCUGAAGGACAUUCCCCGAAGAGGAGCCCUGAUCUCUGUGACGCGUUGGAUAGCCACACCGAAGCAUCCUCUGACCUCCAUAGGGCAAAGAGUAGCAAG